GUGUCCGGAGAGGCCAACGCUUUCAUUAGCCAGCAGGAAUGGGCUGGGGCGCGUUUGUAGUUGGGAAUCCUGAGCCCGGGCUGUUGCUUGGAGGACUCGGGAGCAGCAGUGGAUUUCGGCGUUACCAGGAGAGCUAUGUAUAGGAAUGCCGCUAUGGAAAGACAUCCAGGACACCUUGUUAAGUGAAAAAAGGUUCAGUAUCUGAACACUUUUGCUAAAGGUCUCUGGAAAGCUCCCUGUGUUAAUUCUCGAUGAGACUACGUCUGUGCCGGCCGCUUCCUGAGCCUCCUUCCAUGUGCAUAGGCCUGCUGCAUGCUGGAGACCUGCGGCACAGCUGCCAAGUGCCCCGUGUGGUUCUGUGAUCUUGGGACAGUCACUUCCUCUCUGUGGUUGUCAGUCUUCUCAUCCCUAAGAUGGAAUAAAAAGGCCUACCUCAUUGGGCUCGUGUGGGUGAGGAGAACUGAAGAGUCUGAGAGCGCGGCACGAGCCAGAGGCUACGGAAAACACUGCCCUCCUACACUCCACCUUGGAGAGACCCAGAAAAGAACAAGCUUCAUUUGUAAAAAAGGAAAACAACUCAGGCAAUGGGGGUGGCUUAAAGGCACUCUACAGUGUGCAGAUGCCUUCCACUUCUUCCAUCUGCCCUGUCUCUCCAAGAACCCCUAUGGCCCCGGUCUCAGAACAGAGCUGAGUGCAGAAAUGAAAAUCUAUGGCUCUGUGUUCCAAAACGAUGAAGAAUUUCAAGAUGGUGGCAGUGGUAAAAUCUUUCUCCAGGAAAAAUCUGUCCUUGGCCCAAUGUGUAAACACUUGCUGAGUAUUGUGAAACCAGCAACUUGUUCACAAUUCUUCUGAAUUUCUUGGGAAAUUUGAAGUGGAGUACCUGUACCAACAUGAAAUGACACGAAUUUAAGUGACGCUCAACAACGAAAAGCAAAAAGAACCAAAGAGGAAGCAACUGAAACAACAUCUGGAUGUAUUUAAAAAUAUACAAUGCCUCCAAAAUCAGGUGUCAUUAAUGAAAAUUCUGAAGAAAUGCCACCGGACAUAGCCAACGCACCUACGCUGUUGUUAUUCAUUUCCUGCUUUUCACAGAAAACAAUUUUGUUGCAUGGAAGAUCGUGAACUUCAAAGGGCAGAGGGGAAACUGUCCCUUGGCCUCUACCCCUCCAAGGCCCCACUUUUUUGUCAACACUCCUUGGACGCAGCAGAAGUAUGAACAUAAUAUGGUCCUGAAUGAGGCUGAGUCUUUGGGCGCAGAAGACCCGGGUUAAUAAAAAUAGGAAGGCUUUGGUAUCAGGAUGAUGCUGGCCUCAUAAGGAUGAGUUACGGAGGAUUCCCUCUUUUUGUAUUGAUUGGAAUAGUUUCAGAAGGAAUGGUACCAGCUCCUCCUUGUACCUCUGGUAGAAUUCGGCUGUGAAUCCAUCUGGUCCUGGACUUUUUUUGGUUGAAUCAGAUGCUGCCCUUGUGGCCAGUUGGGUUCCCACCCACCUGAUUCUGGAGCCCUGGACCAGAGCCCUACGUUCACCAUGGGAAGAGACCUUGUGAUAAGCCACUCCUGAAGGCAUGGCCUAACUCUGGACACAGGUGGACAGUGGGUCACCACCAGGCUUGGCCACCACCCAGAUCCCCUUGGACCAGGAGAUCAAGGCUUCGUGCUCCAUCAAGGACAUGAAACAAAACAAUGGGGAGGAAUAAAACAGGAGACCUAAAAAAGGAGGCUGGCCUUUGCCCCACGGCCUUGGCUGCAGCACCAUCACAUGCCUCCACGCCUCUCCAUCUCCUCAUGAAGAUCUCUCUCCAGAUAGAGACCAUUUCCUCCCUAGAGGAAUCCUUGUACUAUCCGUAGGUGAGAACACUUCACCUCAUUACCUGGAUGUGGAGUGUUGAAGCUGGAAGGGAUCCCAGAGAUCGAGGCACCUGUUGAAUUCAGGCAUCGGCAUGUGACUUGAUUUGGUCAAUGAAAUGUGAGAGAAGUGACAUCCACUUUGAGGCAGGCACUUUCCGAAUGCCAUCAAGCUGAGAUGUGAAGCGGAAGUGAGGCAGAGGCUCCCUUCCUUUUGUUUGGCGCAGUUUUCUGUGAGAGAGCAGAGGUGGGAGAUGAGGGGACCUCUGCCCCAGUGUUUCUGCAUCCAAGCUCCAGCCUUGUUGAAGGUUGCCCCGACGGCCACUCUCCAUACUGCUGCCAGAAGA
ensembl:lncRNA DRAIC downregulated RNA in cancer, inhibitor of cell invasion and migration